UACGAGGGGGGCAAAUGUUGUUCGGAAUCACUGGGCGUAAAGGGAGCGUAGGCGGGCUUCUAAGUUAGGUGUUUAAUCCCGGGGCCCAACCCCGGUCAGGCACCUAAAACUGGGAGUCUUGAAUAGUGGAGAGGUCAGUGGAAUUGGGGGUGUAGCGGUGGAAUGCGUAGAUAUCAUCUGGAACGCCAAUGGUGAAAACAGCUCGCUGGGGGUUUGCAGACGCUGAGACACGAAAGCCAGGGGAGCGAACGGG
rnacentral:rRNA from 1 species